GGGUUGUGAGGUUAAGCGACUAAGCGUACACGGUGGAUGCCCUGGCAGUCAGAGGCGAUGAAGGACGUGCUAAUCUGCGAUAAGCGUCGGUGAGGUGAUAUGAACCGUUAUAACCGGCGAUUUCCGAAUGGGGAAACCCAGUGUGUUUCGACACACUAUCAUUAACUGAAUCCAUAGGUUAAUGAGGCGAACCGGGGGAACUGAAACAUCUAAGUACCCCGAGGAAAAGAAAUCAACCGAGAUUCCCCCAGUAGCGGCGAGCGAACGGGGAGGAGCCCAGAGCCUGAAUCAGUGUGUGUGUUAGUGGAAGCGUCUGGAAAGGCGCGCGAUACAGGGUGACAGCCCCGUACACAAAAAUGCACAUAUUGUGAGCUCGAUGAGUAGG
rnacentral:rRNA from 1 species